rnacentral:tRNA from 1 species
CCUGGUGGCUCAGAUGGUAAAGCGUCUGCCUGCAAUGCAGGAGACUCAGGUUCAGUCCCUGGGUCAGGA